UACCCCCCCCGAAGGGGGGGGUUAGAGCAGCCAUCAUUUAAAGAAAGCGUAAUAGCUCACUGGUCGAGUCGGCCUGCGCGGAAGAUGUAACGGGGCUAAACCAUGCACCGAAGCUGCGGCAGCGACACUAUGUGUUGUUGGGUAGGGGAGCGUUCUGUAAGCCGUCGAAGGUGUGCUGUGAGGCAUGCUGGAGGUAUCAGAAGUGCGAAUGCUGACAUAAGUAACGAUAAAGCGGGUGAAAAGCCCGCUCGCCGGAAGACCAAGGGUUCCUGUUCAACGUUAAUCGGAGCAGGGUGAGUCGACCCCUAAGGCGAGGCCGAAAGGCGUAGUCGAUGGGAAACAGGUUAAUAUUCCUGUACUCGGUGUUACUGCGAAGGGGGGACGGAGAAGGCUAUAUCAGCCGGGCGACGGUUGUCCCGGUUUAAGCGUGUAGGCGGAGUGUCCAGGUAAAUCCGGACGCUUGUUAACGCUGAGGCGUGACGACGAGGCACUACGGUGCUGAAGUGAUAAAUGCCCAGCUUCCAGGAAAAGCCUCUAAGCAUCAGGUAACACAGAAUCGUACCCCAAACCGACACAGGUGGUCAGGUAGAGAAUACCAAGGCGCUUGAGAGAACUCGGGUGAAGGAACUAGGCAAAAUGGUGCCGUAACUUCGGGAGAAGGCACGCUGGCGCGUAGGUGGAGGGACUUGCUCCCCGAGCCGAAGCCAGUCGAAGAUACCAGCUGGCUGCAACUGUUUAUUAAAAACACAGCACUGUGCAAACACGAAAGUGGACGUAUACGGUGUGACGCCUGCCCGGUGCCGGAAGGUUAAUUGAUGGGGUUAUCCGCAAGGAGAAGCUUCUUGAUCGAAGCCCCGGUAAACGGCGGGCCGUAACUAUAACGGUCCUAAAGUAGCGAAUCUGUGGGGGGAAGGAUGAGUGUAGAGUGAA
rnacentral:rRNA from 1 species